ACUUCUAUCAUAUAACGCGAUGCAGUGUCUCUUACAUAGUAUGAGACCGCUAGCAAAACAAACAAGUAACCUGGGGUACUUUAAAGUGGAGGCAACUCUGCUUGGAGCCCUGCAAUAAUCCUUUUUAAUACCAUUCUACCCUUUAUAAACCAUAAGACUGAUAUGACAUGAUAAAAAUGUCAAAAUUAAAUUAAUAAAC
rnacentral:misc_RNA from 1 species